GUCGCUCCCCUUUUCCUCGCCUCUCCCCCCCCCCUCAAGCCCGUCAGUAUGUCGGUUUGUCACUCGCCUCCCGGAUUGGUGGAAACGCCAUUCACGUGACGGGAGUCGGGCGAGAGGAACGGGUAGACACGCGGUGCGGUCGUGAGCAUUAGCGAGGCGAAGGGAGAUGUUUUACAGGUGGCAUUUACCCCCGACAAGAAUUGCCAGAAUGUUCAAGGACAAAUCUGAAAAAUGCUGGAAAUGUCAUCAGACACCUGGAUCAUACUACUACAUGUGGUAGACAUGCGUUGAAGCGAAAAGAUAUUGGACUAAAAUACACAUGUGAUUGGAAAAAAUGAUCUAAAAACAUAUUGACUUUAAGCCAGAAGUCUUUCUGUUGGGAAUUAUGCCUGAGAUAUAUACUAGAGAUAUAAAGCAUUUGAUUGUGAAUAUCACUACAGCAGCUAGGAUUGUAUUUGCAAAAAAUUGAAAAAAUGAAGUUCCCUUCACAAGAUGAAAUAAUUAGAAAAAUGUUGGAAUGUGCAGAGAUGAGUAAGUUAACAUUUGAAAUUAGAGAGCAAGAAGAUAAGCAGUAUUAUAAAAUACGGUUUAUUCUAUAAUUGGUUAGAUGGAAAGAUAUGUUAGAAAAGAUAAGUAUAAGAUACAUGUAUGAAAGAGAUGUUUAUUUUGUGAAUGCACAGGAAGAUAUGUAGCACCCGUGCAGCACGUUGUAAUGAAAUUGAUUUGAUGAGGGGGGUUUUUUUAUGCUUAAAAAUAAAUAAAAAAAUUUCCAAAAAAAAAUCUAACUCCAUAGAACCAGUGCCCAAAAGGUUGGGGGCCAUUGUUCUACAGGAUUGUUUUACUAUGUUUUUUUCUUGCUUUCUCAUGGUAUUUUAUUAUGCAAAUAAUAUACCUUGGUCCAGGUUUUGGAACAUUUCCAGCUUUCAAUUCAUCUAUUAUGUUUUCAAUGUCUUUUGUUGUCAGAUCUUCCUGUAAAAUUAAUGAAAACAAUAUUCCACAAAUUAAAUAUGAUAUUUUCUUCAUCUGUAUGUUUAUUGUAUUUAAUGUGUUACAGAACUCUUCCUUUUGCUUCAGAAGCCUACAAUAAUUGUACUUCAGAAGUUAAAAGACUAUCUUAUAUUUAUUUAUAUGGCUGCCUAUCUUUCAAUUGUGACUUUCUGUGAUGUUCUGAACAUAAAUCAAAAAACUAUAUAAAGAUUAAAUAUAUAUGCAUAUUGUAUUUUACUGCACAUAUAUCAAAUGCAUAAUUAAUGUUGAGUUAAUAUAUUAGCAAUAGAGUAUUGGCAAAAUUAGAUACCUGAGGAUGAUAGGAUUUCUUAAUUUUCCAACUAAAGUCAAAAAAGGAAAAGGAAAAUACUAAAAUCUGUCUAUAUCUUUAUGUCAAUUGAGUUGAAUUCCACACACAGUAAAAAAGUAUCAUACUCUCAUUGAACAUUACAUGUGAUUUAGCACAGGCAUUUUCAAGCUUUUUCAAGUUAUGGAAACAAUUUAUAUAUAUUUUUUAAAUUCUGCCACUCCCAACAAAACGUAACACUCUAGUAAGAGAACAUCUAUGUUGGAGCUUACCCCCCCCAACUUAAUUUCUCAAGGAACCACAUCAAGUUCUCAUGAAACCCUAGUGAGAACAAGGGUACAAUUCGAAAAACCCGAUUUAGUGCACAAAAGCAUUGUAGGUGGUGCACAAACUAACUUGCCAACAGAAUGAGGAAUAAGUUUUACACUGGUAUGAAGGGAUCACAUUUCAAGUUGCCAGGAUAAAACCCUCUAUAAUGCAUCAUCUUGUAAUUAAUUUAUUCAGAUAAAUAUGCAUAAGGACAAACAUGCCAAUUAGAAACAAUUCAAUUAAAAAGAUAAUGGUUUCAUAAUGGGCAAAACCUCUUGACAAGAAAAAUUUAUGGUUAUCACCGACAGAUGAAUAUGCUGUCCUGCAGGAGCUAUAUUCAUAUUUUCUUCCAAUUGUGUUUUCAAUCAGUGCAGGCAUUACCUAUAUAUUCCUGCCCAGUCAGAAAGCCAAUGGCACCAAUGAUCAAUUUGCACUCAGUGCCAAGAGUUUAGGUGUGAAUUAUGUUAUACAGGUAGUCCUCGACUAACCUUUUGUUUAGUGACCAUUCAAAGUUACUACAACACAAAAAGGUGCCUUAAGUUUGUUUUUCACACUUGGAACCAUUUAUUUCAUUUGACUGCAUUAUAGGUGUUUCUUAAAAUUCUAUUAUUUAUGUUUUUGCCACAAAUAAAAGUGAUUGUUUAAAGUGAUGGAAAAGCAAAAAUCAAUUUUGAGGCAAUUUAUUUUUUAAAUCAGUUAAAGCUUUAAAAAAUAAUUGUAGUUUCUUAGCACAUCAAAAUUUACCUGGGAUAUCUGCAUGAGAUUAUAAUUUUUGAUUAUGCAGGGGAAAAAUUGUUGCAUCUACUAAAGGGCUUGAGAGACAGAAUGGAAGCUAGGUUAAAUGGCAGAAAAAAUAUUACAAAUGAAGUAUACAUGUCCCAGGAUAAUGUUGCAAGAUCCAAUCUGGAUCAGUCACCGGGACAAGAGGGUCUUCUGAGCUUUUGGACUUGUGCUGGAGCCAAUCCUCAAGGAACUUCACUCUCACCAGAUUUGUCCUUUAUUAAGUGUGUAUUUAUAUGGUGCCUUCCUAUUGGUUGAUUGGCAUGUUGACGGCUGGCAAUUGGCUGUUUCCUUGUGCUGUCAAAACUACAAAGCUUAAAUGUGACUCCUUAAAUCAUGAUCUCCUCUGACACAAUGUCCCUAUUUACAUCCAUACUUCCUCACUUAGCAUACAAAUAAUAGAUUUAAAAAAACCAGAAGAGUACAAGACAGAUCAGAACAACCUAACCAGGACACAAAUCAUGAAGUUACUCCAGUACCACCAGCAUACCUUUUUCAUAUUCAAAAGGGAAAUGUAUCAGCAAAAAGAAGGGACACCCAUGGGAUCCGCAAUAUCAAGAGUUGUUGCAGAAACUGUCCUAUGCAAACUAGAACAUCAUACAUUUCUAAACUACACAUCUAAAUUUUGGUGUCGCUACAUGGGCAACGUGUGUCAUAAAUGAACGAAAUGCACUGAAAGAUUUUCAUACUCUACUGAACUUUUAUCUUUCUAGACACACAAUUCACAAUGGAGGAAGAAACAGCUAGAUGAUUACCAUUUUUAGAUGUAUUAGUCAAUAGGCAGGAAGAUAGAAGCCUCAAAACCAUGGUUUAUUGCAAGGCCACCAACACUCCACAUAUUCUUAAUUUCAACAAAAAGAAAUACAAAAAGAGUUGCCUCAUAACACCAAAUGGCAGGGUGAGAACUCACUGUAGUACAAAGCAAGCUAAAUAACUGGAGAGAAGGUACCUACAUGAACAAUUCAGGCAGAAUGGGUACCCAUAAGCAUUUAUUACAAGAUACCUGCACAACACACGAAGGUAUAAAAUCAAUAUAUGGCACAUCAAAAACAUUUCAGAAGCAGUAGAACACAGCUGCUGAUAUCUCCAAGUGGGCACUGCAUAGUGCCCAGAGACUACCAUACAAGGACAAAUCAUGCAUUGGAGGUGGGAGAUACUUCUAAUGUAAUUUACUGGAUUCCCUGCAUGGAUUGCCCCAUGACUAUGUAGGAUGGACAUAGAGGAAGCUAACCACCAGAUUACAAGAACACACAAGUGAGUGGUCAGACAAGUACUCAUUGGUAGUCUCUCAUAGCAAUGAACAAGGACAUAUAUUCAAUUUUGCAGUUACUAAGAUUGUUGACCGUGAAGGUAGAAAGAUAGCCAGGGAAAUGAUUGAAGUCUGUGAAACAGACCCCUUCUCAGUCAACAGGAGUACUGAUUUACGCACCAUAUAAAUACAAUGCAUAGAAUAGCCCAAAGGACUCAUUCCAGCAAAGAAGUUCCCUGAGGAGGGGCUCCAACACAAGUCCAAAAGCUUGGAAGACUAAAUUUCUGGUUCUAGUGACUAACCCAGAUUGGAUCUUGCAGAAAAUAUAUUGCUCUAUGCUCACAGAGCAUAACCAUAUUCAUAUUUCUGAUCUUUAUAUGUUGGAAAGUGUAUAGAAUUUCAUAGCACAAUAAAUAAUAUACAGAAUGCCUAAAA